UACGGAGGAUUCAAGCGUUAUCCGGAUUUAUUGGGUUUAAAGGGAGCGUAGACGGCUGAGCAAGUCUGAAGUGAAAGGCGGGGGCCCAACCCCCGGACUGCUUUGGAAACUGUAUAGCUAGAGUGCAGGAGAGGUAAGUGGAAUUCCUAGUGUAGCGGUGAAAUGCGUAGAUAUUAGGAGGAACACCAGUGGCGGAGGCGGCUUACUGGACGGUAACUGACGCUGAGGCUCGAAAGCGUGGGGAGCAAACAGG
rnacentral:rRNA from 1 species